UUUUUAAAUUGGUACAGCUCCACAAUCUCAAAAAAUACUACCUUUAAAAUUUUUUUGAAUGCUGUAUUUAUUUUGGUAGAGUAUUCUGAACAUGUCACUUAUUUAUAGAGGAAUAAUAUUGCAUUAUUUUGAUAACUUUUUUUUCAUAGAACAAAUUAUUCAUUUUAAGGUUACUGAAUUGUUGUGUUGUGAACCUGUUUCCAAUUUAUAACAUUUAGGGGUUCUUCACCACAUCUUAUGUAAUUUAAAUAAAAACUUUAUAGUCUAUAUUUUUCAAGGAGAUAUUUCAGGAGAUCUGUAACAAAUACUUUUACUCAACUAAUUAAGAAAAUCAUUCUUUGCUCACAAACAUAUAGGGUGAAUAUUAAUCUCCAGUUACUUUCGUCAGUUUGGACAUUUUGGAUGAUUUGGCUGUUCUCUUUACACAAAGUGAGGGGAAAAGUAUAAAGAGUUAGAGUACCUAAGUAAGUGAGAACUCUGGACUUCAACCCAGGCAGUUUUGCUCCAGAGCCCACACACUUAACCACAAUACUAUGUUGGCUGAUACUCUUGACCUGGACCCCUCUUCACUCUCUGGUAGUGUUAUAAAUUCAAGCCUAAUUCUUUCUUUUGCCACGAGAGCUUCUUUUCCUACCCAAUCUGGGAUUUAUAAAAUGGAACAAUCUCUUCUCUCCAAUUUGGCACUCAAAAGAAGCUCUGAUAUACAAAAGGUAAGCGUAUUUUUCUGUCAGGAAUAGCUUACCAUUCUAAAAUUUAAAACAAGCAAAAUAGUGGCCCACUGAACCUUCCUCAUUUUUUUCUUUUCUUUGUGUACAAUAAAUACAUUGAAAUUUUACUGGCAUACAAGGUGUAUAUUACUUGAGUCUUUAAAUCAUUGCUCAGUGUUUGUUUUUUCUUUGUUUUAUUUCAGUUGUUUAUUACUUCUUUUAUAUUGGAUUUAAAUAAUUUAGAUUUUAAGCUUCUAAAAGGGCAAAGAAUCUAUUCAGCUUGUGGCUUAACAAUAUCAUGCACAAUAGGUACUUACAAGCUAUUUGAUGUUAUUGUUUCUACUUUGGAAAAAGAGAGGAUCAAUGGAAAGAAAUGAAAAUGGCUGUGCUAUUAAAGAUCCAUGCAAAGUAGUUUUACUAUUUUUGCUCAAUUUUGAGUUUGGGGUUGAUUGAUAUAUUUGUCUAAUGUAUUAUAUCUAGGUACAUCAGACAUUGUUAUUCCAUUUGCUUUCUGUUUUCAAACGUAUUUUAAAGAUCUUAACAGAAGAAAGACUUUUACUAUUUCUGUUGCUCCUCUCGUUUCUAAUGUUUAGGUUUCAUUCUGAUGUCAUAUUUCUUCUCUCUGAAGAACUUCCCUCUAGCAGUUCUUUUAGAGCAAAUCUGCUGACAGUGAAUUUUCUUAGUUUUUCUUCAUUUGAAAAUAUCUUUAUUUCACCUUAAUUCCUGAAGGAUAUUUUUCUUGAAUAUAGGAAUCUGGGUUAACAGUUCUUUUCUGUUAGCAUUUAAAAAUGUCACUGCUUCUUCUGGCCUCUGGUUUCUGAAGAGAGAAACUCUCAGUAAUUUCAGUUUUGUUGCCCGAGAAGUAAUGCAAGUGAAGCUAGGAAUUUGGGUUUUCAGUCAUUAUUUCCUCAAAAACUUCUUUCUAUACCACACUCUCUCCUUUCCUGCUUGGAUUCCAAUGAAGUAAGAUAUCUUGUUAUUUUCCCACAAGUCCCUGAGGGUUGGUUUUAAAAAUAUAUUUUUUUCUCUCUCUCUGUUCAAAAUAGGUAUUCUUUAAUCUAUCUUCAAGAUUACUGGCUGUUUCUCUAUCAUUUUCAUUUGGCUAUUGAUCCUGUCCAACUGGAUUUUCCUUUCGGUUAUUUUAUUUAUUUAUUUAUUUAUUUAUUUAUUUAUUUAUUUAUUUUAGUAUAGCAAAGGUGGAGAUUUGUUGAAGAACAAGUACAGACUCACAUGUGG